CAGAACUGAACCUGAGCAAAACCAACCUGGAAGGUUCUGGACUGAAGGAUCUCUGUGGUUUUCUACAGACUGAAGGCUGCAGACUGGAGAUAUUGGUGUUGAAUGACUGCAGUUUGUCAAAGAUCAGCUGUGAUUAUUUGGCCUCAGCUCUGAAGUCCAACCCGACCCGUCUGACAGAACUGGUCCUGAGAGAAAACAACCUGAAGGAAUCAGAUGUUCAGCAGCUGAAGGAUCUUGUAAAAACUUUAGAGUUGUUCUGAUCUCUGUAAAGUAGAGAACGUCUCUGUGUCCUGCUGAUCCUCACAGGUUGAAGCUGCAGCAGUUUGAGUCUAAAGAGACUCUGGAUCAAGAUGAUGACCUCUGACCUCAGAACAUUUUCUAUUUCUAUUUCAAAUAUUUUCCAGACGUCGAUUGUUGAAGAUUUUCAGUUUUAUUUUUCAUCUGAUCUGUUUGAUGAUCUGCAGAAACAAAAGAGAGAAAAAUACUCUGAGUUUGUUAGAAAAGUUGAAUUGAGCAAAAACAUGAAUCAUAAAUUUCAUUAAAAAGCUUUAAAGAGUU